UAUAUUCAGCUUGGUCCAAACCGUGAGGUUUAUUAUACUCAUGAAAAUACAGCAGCAUUAUCUCAUUACUCUAGAAUUUAUGUGCAAGAAUUAAAAGAAACAUUUGGAGAGCUAUUUAAAAUAGAUAUAAAUAUAUCUGCCAUGAUUAAAGAUAACUAAUUUAAUUUAACAGAAACUGUUAAAUAAACAGCAUGUUGUAAUAGUGGCAGAGUUCUAAUGCCAAUAAGCAAGGCUGCCAGAGGCUUUCAAUCAUAAGCUUCUGUAUUCAGAUUCUGAUUGCUCUGCCAAAUUUAAAUAAUUGUGGCUGGAUAUAUCCCUGAAAUAUUUUUUUUUCCUCAAGUUUUGAUUAAAGCAAACGUUUUCCUAAGUAGUUAAGGAAAAUAGCAUUGACCAGUUAAGGUUAAAUAGUUUUAUUAACAUUUUGCUUGAAAGCUUCCAUCUGGUGGCACAUGGGAAAUGGAAUUUAAAAUCUGCUUUGAGAUUUCCCUGGACUGAAGAAACUGCCUAUGCUGCUCCUCUGAAAUUGGCCUUAGAGGUUACUGAGGAAAAUGUCUCUGCCCACUGCAGUGCUUGUGAAAGCAGUGCUCAAAGAUUGUGAAAGCCAAAGAUCCUCCAAUGCUGAACAUGCCUUAUUCUGUCCAAGCACACGAAGAAAUAACCUUCCUCACUGGAGAUCUGAGUGGCUUCCCUCAGCAUGCUGGGGUCGCACUCCCUGUAAAGGAGUGCUGCUGGGAGCAGGGAUCUUGAGCAAGAAUCCCAGACAUGUGGAUUCUUCUAGUGUUGCCUCCUUCUGCUCUGUUACGAAACUGAAGGGAAAUCAUGGUCUGAGGGU
rnacentral:lncRNA from 1 species